CUGCUAAUCGUUUCAGCAGAAGACAGUGUUUCAAAGGUGCCUUCAGCUGAAUGUAAGAAGUCCAGCUAUCAUGAAGUCUCCAUGUGGACAGACAAUUCAGAGGAAUGAGAGAGAGAGAGACCUGAGCAGCUAGCAGUGCCAGCACCUAGAUGUUUGAAUCUUCCCAGCCCAGAUACAUGAUGGAAAAAACUUCAAGAUGCCCAUUGGACAGCAACCACAUGAAAGACCUGGAGUGAGAACUCCUAAGCUGAGAUCUCACUCUUUCAGACUCCAGAGCCAAAUAAAUAAUUAUUAAUGUUUAAGCCACUGUUUUGGUGUGGCAACAAUAAAGGCCUGGAACAGGG
rnacentral:lncRNA from 10 species